GCCGAGGUGGUGCACGAAUUGGUAGACACGCUACCUUGAGGUGGUAGUGCCCAAUAGGGCUUACGGGUUCAAGUCCCGUCCUCGGUACCA
rnacentral:tRNA from 1 species